rnacentral:misc_RNA from 1 species
UGAAAACACUACCAGAAUCAAUGAUUUAUAUUGAUGACUUAAUCGACUCAUUGAAAGGAAGUGAUUGAACUUGUGAUUUUUUAAAAAAUAAAAUUAUAAUGUGGGAAAUGCGUAGGGAGGGUAAAAGUGAUAGGAAAUGGUCAAAUGUUUUCAAAGUUGAGAAAAGAGAGAAAUAAAGUGCCAUGGCUGUGGAAAGUACGGCCACGUGAUAAGAAAUUGCACGAAUACAUGCAGAGGCGGAAUCAAUGGAGGAGCGCAAUGGCAAGGAGGUGCGUAUCAGCCAUAGCAGAAUAGGGGUCGCGGCGGACGAGGUUGUGGCCACAGAAGACGAGGAUAUGUUCAGCGUGGAUUUGGUCAACGAGGACGAAGCAGAGGUUGGCAGCAACGCUACAAUGGGGCAAGUCGACAAGACGCAAAUUAUUUAAACAGCGAGGACUACGACGACCAAGGAAUUGACUCCUUCCUAACGCGAGUGCAGCCCGAUAAUAGUAAGGAUACUAUCACAGUAUAUACCAGCGAUACGCGAAAAAUA